CGCGGUAAUUCCAGCUCUAAUAGCGUAUAUUAAAGUUGUUGCAGUUAGAACGCUCGUAGUCGGAUUUCGGGGCGGGCCGACCGGUCUGCCGAUGGGUACGCACUGGUCGGCGCGUCCUUCCUUCCGGAGACCGUGCCUACUCUUAACUGAGCGGGGGCGGGAGACGGAUCGUUUACUUUGAAAAAAUCAGAGUGUUUCAAGCAGGCAGCUCGCUCUUGCAUGGAUUAGCAUGGGAUAAUGAAAUAGGACUUUGGUGCUAUUUUGUUGGUUUCGAACACCGAAGUAAUGAUUAAAAGGGACAGUCAGGGGCACUCGUAUUCCGCCGAGAGAGGUGAAAUUCUCAGACCAGCGGAAGACGAACCACUGCGAAAGCAUUUGCCAGGGAUGUUUUCACUGAUCAAGAACGAAAGUUAGGGGAUCGAAGAGGAUCAGAUACCCUCGUAGUCUUAACCAUAAACCAUGCCGACUAGGGAUUGGAGGAUGUUCACUGAUUGACUCCUUCAGCACCUUACGGGAAACUAAAGUCUUUGGGUUCCGGGGGGAGUAUGGUCGCAAGGCUGAAUCUCAAAGGAACUGACGG
rnacentral:rRNA from 1 species